UACGUAGGUGACAAGCGUUGUCCGGAUUUACUGGGCGUAAAGAGCGCGCAGGCGGUCGUUCAAGUCGAGUGUGAAAGCCCCCGGCUCAACUGGGGAGGGUCACUCGAUACUGAUCGACUCGAAGGCAGGAGAGGGUAGUGGAAUUCCUGGUGUAGCGGUGAAAUGCGCAGAUAUCAGGAGGAACACCGAUGGCGAAGGCAGGUCUCUGGGCCACUACUGACGCUGAGAAGCGAAAGCAUGGGGAGCGAACAGG
rnacentral:rRNA from 1 species